GACGAACGCUGGCGGCGUGCCUAAUACAUGCAAGUCGAACGAAGCUGUUUUAACUGGUGCUUGCACCGACUUAAACAACUGAGUGGCGAACGGGUGAGUAACACGUGGGUAACCUGCCCCAAAGCAGGGGAUAACAUUUGGAAACAGAUGCUAAUACCGCAUAAUCACAGAAACCACAUGGUUUCUGUGUCAAAGAUGGUUUCGGCUAUCACUUUGGGAUGGACCCGCGGCGUAUUAGCUAGUUGGUAAGGUAAUGGCUUACCAAGGCAAUGAUACGUAGCCGAACUGAGAGGUUGGUCGGCCACAUUGGGACUGAGACACGGCCCAAACUCCUACGGGAGGCAGCAGUAGGGAAUCUUCCACAAUGGACGAAAGUCUGAUGGAGCAACGCCGCGUGAGUGAAGAAGGUUUUCGGAUCGUAAAACUCUGUUGUCAGAGAAGAACGUGUGCGAGAGUAACUGUUCGUGCAGUGACGGUAUCUGGCCAGAAAGCCACGGCUAACUACGUGCCAGCCGCCGCAGUAA
rnacentral:rRNA from 1 species